GAUUUUAAAUUUUAUCUAUAAAAUCUGGGCACUUGCAUCUGGGAAGGUUCUUCUGCGCAUGACCUAAUAGAUGCAACCCUUAAUUUUAUGUCGCUUUUCCCGGGAUUCCCUAUGCAUAUAAUAUAUGUAUAUAAUAUGUAUAAGUAUAUAUACAUAUGAGUAUAUAACCGGAAACAGCUGCAUCGAUUUUCAAUUAUAUAUACAAAAUCUGGGAAGUUUCAUCUGCGCAUGAGCUGAAAGAUGCAACCCCCUCACAUACUUCCACAUCCAUCAGGAUGUGCAGGACAUUAAAUCAUAUUAGUUGUGACAACCAAGAAGUGAACACCUGUCAACUUAAUUCCAAAGUGAUUAAAGCUGUUUUAAAUACUUAUUCAAAUUAUUAAAAUUGAAGUUUUAAGUAACUGCUUGCUUAUCAGAUUUUCUUUAAGAUAGAAAAAGCGCUUUACGCUUAGAAGAAGCCAUGAACUCAGCGUUGAGUAAUGUUAUCAUCGUGAACCCCGAGAAGAGGAACAAUGAUCAGAUACCCGAGAAGCCGGAAAAAACUGAGAAAUCGAAAGCAUCUUCAUCGCGAAUGAAGAUGCUCGUCAUCGACUACGUAUACGUGGCUAAACUGGACAAAAUCAAAAAGACAUGGAGCAUCGAGAAGAUUCAGAAACAAAAGCUUGUUGCAUUAUUGCGCAACAAGAACAACAAGCGUAUUUGAUUAGCUAUAAUGUAUCACAUUAUGAAGAAACUUAAAAAAAUAUAGUAUGUAAAUGUAAUAUUGUAGUGUUGAGUAACCGAAAAAAUGCUUCAUUUAAUUUUUCUAUAUUUAUAUACACAUAUAUCUUUAUAUUGCAUAUAUGCUAUGUAGAUGCAUUUGCAACGGCUGAUAAUGUUUUAAGCCUAUUUUCUAUAUUAUAUUCACAUUUUUGUAGAUUGAAUAUUACAUAGUGUUAGAAUGAACGAAAUAGUUAAAAAAAAAACGAAUUUCAGGGAUAAUGGUGGUUUUGUAUGUUGUAUAUACUCAUCAGAAAUUUAUAAAUCAACCCUCUGUAGACAAGUGGCGCAUUUAUCCGCCCAACAUUUUAUAAAGCGAUUAUUUAGAUUCUGACCGCACGCGUCAAAUUGCUCAAAAAAUCUGAUGGAUAUAUUUAAUGUAUACAAGAUCACCACCCCUUAAAAAAUAAAUGUCAUGUAAUAAUAAUAAAUAAAAAAAUUUCAGGUCGAGUCCUGGAAGAAGUUCCUGGAUCCAAAAUCCAGGUUCACGGAGAUUCCACUCCGUAACAUGCAGGGAUUCAGGUUUUAUCCUUGCAUGUAUUUUAGGUCCGAGGUCCCAAGAUGGAUGUCCAUCACCACCUCCGCUACGAACACCGACAUAUAGGUUUCGGGUUCGUUUUUUUGCGGAGGUUGAAGUGGUGAUGCCAGUAUUAAGAUAAGUAUUUUUGUAUUAUAUUCUAGAAUGAGUAGUCGAUAUUAAAUUGAAGGACGACACCCAUUCGAUUCUCAAUAUGUUCAUAGGCAAACAGUUUUUGAUGAUGUUUUUUCUUCUUCUAUUUUUGAGGUUGUCAACACCAAGAGAUGUGCAGGGAUAUUCUACUUUUAGGUACGUGUUAUGCAUUUUUUUACCGAACAAAGAGAAAAAUAAUAAUUCAAAGAAAACUAUGUAAUAUUCUAUAAAAGCAUUUGAGAGAAAAGGUUACCAUUCACAAAUAACUAUCAAUACUACAUAUUUUGUAAUAUACAUGUUUGGUGUUGUGUGUACUUUUGUAUUAAAACUUGUAAUGAAGAAAA